AAUUUGUGUGUGUGUUUAGGGAUGCACUGGCAGGGAGCAUCGGUGCUGACUCUGGACUUGAGCCUUCCUGUGGAUAGCAGGGGCUGUGGCUGGCAUUGUGUCUGCCCUUGGGGAGCCCAGAGGGAACAGUGCACGGGAGGGGCGUGGUGCAUGCGUGUUGCUUUGCAACACCACCCCACCUCCUCUCUCUGCCUUGCUCCGCGCACUUUGGAUUCCUGCAUGUGUGUCUCCCCUGCCAGGUGCACCCCCGGGCGGCGGUUCCAUGAAGCUCCUCUCCUCUGCCGGUGCCAGACUUAAAACUGGUGCAGAUCAGGGGAAUCCCACUGUUUAAGUAAAACAAAGCAUCAGGAAGGCCCACAGCGGGUGUUGACUGAUGUGAUUUCUGCCCAGUGCGCUGAAUGUGGAACUGAGGAAUUUCAAUGAAUUGCGGGUAAACAGCGGGAGUAACUGUGACUCUCUUAAGGUAGCCAAAUGCCUCCUCAUCUAAUUAGAGAAGCACAUGAAUGGAUGAAUGAGAUUCCCACUG
rnacentral:ncRNA from 1 species